AGGUCUGUGGCCUAGUGGGUUAAAGGCGUUAGGGGUUUAGCUCGGGGGUUGAGGGUUCGAAUCCCUCCAAUCUUU
rnacentral:tRNA from 1 species